AUUGAACGCUGGCGGCAUGCCUUACACAUGCAAGUCGAACGGUAGCGGGCCUUCGGGUGCCGACGAGUGGCGAACGGGUGAGUAAUGCAUCGGAACGUACCUUUCAGUGGGGGAUAACGUAGCGAAAGUUACGCUAAUACCGCAUAUUCUGUGAGCAGGAAAGCAGGGGAUCGCAAGACCUUGCGCUGAUUGAGCGGCCGAUGUCAGAUUAGCUAGUUGGUGAGGUAAAGGCUCACCAAGGCGACGAUCUGUAGCGGGUCUGAGAGGAUGAUCAGCCACACUGGAACUGAGACACGGUCCAGACUCCUACGGGAGGCGGCAGUGGGGAAUUUUGGACAAUGGGGGCAACCCUGAUCCAGCCAUGCCGCGUGAGUGAAGAAGGCCUUCGGGUUGUAAAGCUCUUUCGGCCGGGAAGAGAUCGUAUGGGCUAAUACCCUGUGCGGAUGACGGUACCGGCAUAAGAAGCACCGGCUAACUACGUGCCAGCAGCCGCGGUAAUAC
rnacentral:rRNA from 1 species